rnacentral:lncRNA from 1 species
CUUCGCGCUCGCCCGCGUGACCACAGCCCGCCUGUCUUCUCACCUGUGCGCCCUCGCUUCUAGCGCUGUUUCCCCGGUCACUUCCAUCAGAUCCACCGCAUGACGACGCCCGCCUCCACCAAAUCUGAACCACCAGCAAAACCGCGCCUGCGCCGCCCCGUCUCUGGUGCCCAAUGACCGCCGGUGUCAUCCCCGAAGUCCUGCUCCGCCGCACCGCUGCUCAAUCUCUACCCCGGCAGAGCACUCGAUCGUUUCUUCCCGGUCUUCGCGCCGCUCCAACCUUCUCUCUUCCGCGCAGCUAUAAAAGGGAAUGCCAAAGCUCCGCCGGAGUCCCCUUCGCCAUCGCUGCCCUCCCGCCUUGCUCUCUGUUCGUGCUCAAAGCGCUACCGCCUAAGUCCCUUCUCCUCUCCGCUCCACGCCCGCCCUUCC